rnacentral:rRNA from 1 species
UACGGGGGGGGCAAGCGUUGUUCGGAAUUACUGGGCGUAAAGGGCUCGUAGGCGGCCAACUAAGUCGGAUGUGAAAUCCCCAGGCUCAACCUGGGAACUGCAUCCGAUACUGCGGUGACUGGAGUCUGGUAGGGGAACACGGAAUUCCUGGUGUAGCGGUGAAAUGCGCAGAUAUCAGGAGGAACACCCGUAGCGAAGGCGGCUCACUGGUCCGGUACUGACGCUGAGGUGCGAAAGCGUGGGGAGCAAACAGG